CAAUAGCGUAUAUUAAAGUUGUUGCAGUUAAAAGCUCGUAGUUGGAUUUCGGAACCGGCCGAUUGGUCCGUCCUCUGGAUCGUGUACUGAUCGGUCUGUUCUUCUUCGCGAAGACCGCGUGUGCCCUUAACUGGGUGGGCGCGGGAUUCGCGACGUUUACUUUGAAAAAUUAGAUUGUUCAAAGCAGGCUAUUGCUUGAAUACAUGAGCAUGGAAUAAUGGAAUAGGACUUUGGUCCCAUUUGUUGGUUUCUAGGGCCGAAGUAAUGAUUAAGAGGGACAAUUGGGGCAGUCCGCUAUUUCGUUGUCAGAGGUGAAAUUCUUGGAUUUACGAAAGACGAACAACUGCGAAAGCACUUGCCAAGAGUGUUUUCAUUAAUCAAGAACGAAAAUUAGAGGAUCGAAGACGAUCAGAUACCA
rnacentral:rRNA from 1 species